rnacentral:tRNA from 1 species
AAGGGAGACCUAAUUCAGGUAGGAGACGAAAAAAAGUAGUCCCUACCAAGAAUCAAUCCCAAAAGGUCGGAGCGAGGCAAAAUUGGCUUUCAAACUAGGUUCUGGGUUCACAUAAGACCUGAAUCAGGAACAAGGGCUAUUAGCUCAGGUGGUUAGAGCGCACCCCUGAUAAGGGUGAGGUCCCUGGUUCGAGUCCAGGAUGGCCCACCUGCACAGGUGGCAAAAACAAAGAAAAGAAGCUCCGAAUCCGCACCUUAUCUUACUCAUAUAGUAAGAGAGAAUGCUGGCUCUGAGUUCAGAGUCCAGAGGAACCUUGAAAACUGCAUAGAGCUAGGUGAAAAAGCCAAAAAAGAAGACCGCAAGGUCAAGCUAAUAAGGGCUAACGGUGGAUACCUAGGCAC